rnacentral:lncRNA from 1 species
CCUGUUUGGAUUGGGGAUAAGGGGUGGAAUAACCCCUUAUUCUCCCUUUAUAUCCAAACGUUAAUUUUUUACCCAAGAAUAGUAAUUCUCGGAUACCUGAAAUAAGCUAGUAUAACUAUCUCCACCAACACCUUCAUUUUCUAUAUAUAACUACCCAUUAUUUUUCUUAUUCCAUAUUAUCUAUCCAAACGCUAUUUUUCUUAUCCCCGGGAACAAUCCAAUUUUCAUGCAAAUGCUAUUUUUCUUAUCCCCAUACUUGUAUCUAUCCCUAUAAUAGCUAGUUCUUGCUUAUAGGACUAAUGCUCCAAGUUUCCUUGUGACAUAAUA